AAUGAAGCGAUGAUAAGGGGUAUUAGUUCCAGGGAUGUCAUACAGAGAGCCGGCGGUGGGUGCAAGCCGGUUGACGAUUUGGGAUGAACUCGCCUUUGAGCUAUGAUGUGAAGCGCGUGCGAAAGCGCGUCAAGGAUCAUCGAUUCACCCGCGUUAAGGGUGCAAAGGGAGCGGGGAUAAAGCAUGUCCUCCGCUAACUAGGGUGGUACCACGGGAAUCAAACCUCUCGUCCCUAGC
rnacentral:ncRNA from 1 species